AUCUAACAAGUGCUCUUGGUGUCAUGAAACUCCUCUUUCAAGUGAUCCCAAGCAUUCUUAGGCGAUUCAGAAGUCAUUAUUUUUGUGAAAAUAACAUUUGACACAACUGAAUGAAUGUAAGAAAAAGCCUUAAAUCUUUUCGCGACUUCUUCGUUGUAUUGCUUCAUUUGCGUCACUGUGCGGUUAGAUCUCUAUUCUGGUGACUCAUCUCCCACCUCCACAACCUCCCGUAAAUCAAAAACUUUGAGAUAUAUCUCUAUUUUCACGACCUAAAUGGCAUAAUUUUCUCAUGUAAACACAAACAUAGUAAUAACAUUAAAGCUUAAGGAAGCUAAGGUUAAGGUGCUCUAUUUUAAAAGAAGUUAAGAACAAAAAUUUCCAAAAAAAAUUGUUGGUGAUUUUUUACUUUCUCAAUUUCUUAAGAUCCUUUAGGGAGCUUUGAUAACAUGUUAAAAUUGAGACAGAGGUCACACUUCAUUAAUAAUCCCUAAUGGCCUUAAAUACAAGAAAAAGAAAAACUACCAUCUAACACAUGAAGAAAGGAAAAAACUACCAAAGAGUAGGAGUCAACAUGACCACAUAGCAAAUAACUACUGGUUCAUAAUUACAUGAUUAAAAACCACUAAUAAGACAUGCCCCUGAGCUUAAUUUACAUGAAACUCCCUGCAGCGAACUGUCAAAAGUGUGCAACUCUUCAAACUUGACCCCAAUUUCAACACACAAGAUAAAAGAAAAACAACAGUCGCCAUUACUUCUAUUUGGACUAACAGAUAUUCUCAAGUGUUUCAUUUGCCAGAUGCCCCAGCACUUGGUUCCAAAGCUUGCUAAUUCUGGUUUUGCUGCGCUAUCAAUUCACUAAAUAUAUAAAAAGAACAAAAAUAAAGAGGAAUUUAGUCUUGUCACCAAUGUUAUCAAAAUUUUUUGAAAAACAAACUUUACUUUUUCUUAAUUAUUCUGUUAAAUCUUCCAAUAUAUUAUGUUUAAGAAUGAGGAAUUCGGCCACUUAAUCUUAAUUUAUUUGCAGCAUGUUAAUUUCGCUUUAACUUCGUAUAAUAUUUCUCCUUCCAUGCUAAUCAGUACAUAUAAUAAGUAGCUUAGUUCCUUAUGCAGACCAUGCUUGGGGAGGGGGGUUGUCUCCCUCUGCUUCGUCCUGCAAUACCUCCAUGUUAAAAGGGUAGUUUUUGUACAUUUGUCGAUUAAUGAAAGCUUAGAAUUUGCCUUUCAGAAAAAAAAAUUUUUUCUCCUGCCAUGUUUUGUCUCUGUUAUGCUUUUCCUUCUUUUUCUUUUUUAGUCCUUUAAGCAGUAAGUAUAUUGGGCUGAAGCUUCUGUCUAUUUGUGAACAUUUUCAAAGCCAGCUAAAAGUUUAAGAUUAGGGGUCUGCCAGUGCCAAAAUAUGAGCCUGUUUAGGUUGGUUUAACGAGAAAAUACUUAAAAUGAAAAUUAUGGUGAAUAUGGAACCAUAUUCAAGAGAAGUUGUUCUUGGAGAUUCAAGGGGUCAUGGGAAAUGGAGAGAAGUUGGAAAAGAUGCCAUAUCUUAAAGCAGUGGUCCUAGAAUUUUAGCUUGUAUGUGUGGCAUAUGUAUGUACUGGAUAUUGCAUUCUGGUAUGCUUCACAUGCAGGAUAUGUUCUUCUGGUGUGUGGAUAUACAAGGUUAUCUACGAUGGGGCUGUUUCUGGAAAUUGCUCAUAGGCAGGGCAUGCUUAUUUCUGAUGUUUGCAUAGUUUGGAUUGUUAUGUGGAAGGGGUCAUGUUCUGAUAAACUUGUGAUGUUAUCAGUUACCAGCAGGAUAUAUUUGAGUUGUAACGUGUUAUUGGAAGGGUGUGAUGUAAUCUGUGCAAUGGCUUUAAGCCAAGAUGCAUGUCCCUUCGAUAUGAAAUGAAUUGGCAUAUCAAAAAAAAGAAAUGGUGAAUAUGGAACCAACCGUAGAGCCUGAGUGAGCGCAGCGGCUUUGGCGAAAUCAUUGUUCUCUCGUGCUUUUAGGAUUUGAAACAUGAUGCAAAGGCGGAGUCUGGUACAGGCACUCUGUUUCAUAAUGAUCAUCGUCUCGGCAUGAAGAUUUCUGCAUUC
rnacentral:lncRNA from 1 species